CGACCCCAGGUCAGGAGGGACUACCCGCUGAGUUUAAGCAUAUAAAUAACUGAAGGAGAAGAAACUGACAAGGAUUCCCCUAGUAAUGGUGAGCGAACCGGGAACAGCCCAGCUUGAGAAUCGGGCGGCUGUGCCGUCCGAAUUGUAGUCUGGAGACGCGUCCUCAGCGACGGACCGCGGGCGCCCCAAGAAGGGGGGCGCCUGGG
rnacentral:ncRNA from 1 species